UCACAGUCAACCACAUUGCUGUAGGUCUGGAGUCACAUGUAGGCCCGACCAGAUGCUGCCAUAACUGCUGAGCUUUUCCAGAAAUUUCUGUUUUUGUCUCUGACAGCUGUGACAUUCAACAUCAUCUUCAGGCAGAAUAACUAUCACAAGAUUGGGAUGUAUCAGCAAAUUAUCUACAUGUCAUAGAGACUUACAGAUCCCUACCAUUGUUCUGAACAGCCUUCCAACCCCCUCUCUACACAAUCUGCAUUAAUUUGGAAUUCGGACAUUGUUUGCUGUUUCUGCACUCAAGCCCUUUUCUUUCAUUCACUUCUGGAACAUGGGCAUCACUGGCUAAACUCCAACUGGUCUGAUCUACCACUCGCCUAAAAUAACUGACAAUAAUUUUAACAAAAAAAGCCACUCAAUCGUCUUCAAAUGGCUCAUGGAGCUUAUUUAAUUUGGAAAACUGUCAGUUUAUUUCAUAAGGAUGUCGGUCACAUGCCAAAAUGAACCAACUGUGCAAGAUGCUUACACUUGAAAUGUUUGUUUCCUCACUGAAGAAAAUGUGCAAACCAACUUCAACAGUAAGAGGAUAGUGGACUGAAAAUUCUUCAAGGUGAGGAGGACUGACUUUCCCCCACUGUUCUAGGAGAAAUAGGAUAUUUUACAAGUACCAACAUUAAACACCAAGACUUCUCAUGGAAUCUGUACAACAUGGAGAAUCAUGGGAUGUUUACCACAUAAAAAGAGACCAUUUGGUCCUUCACAGCAUUUUACCUGGGCUUCUGUUCAUGUUUAAUAUCAUGUCUUUAUUAUAUUUUUCACAGUCUAAUAGAUAAUAAAAAUCCUUUCUUUUGACUCAAGGAAAA